rnacentral:rRNA from 1 species
GGACCCGCACAAGUAGUGGAGCAUGUGGUUUAAUUCGAAGAUACGCGCAGAACCUUACCAACACUUGACAUGUUCGUCGCGACUUUAAGAGAUUAAAGUUUCGGUUCGGCCGGACGAAACACAGGUGCUGCAUGGCUGUCGUCAGCUCGUGUCGUGAGAUGUUGGGUUAAGUCCCGCAACGAGCGCAACCCUCACUUUUAGUUGCCAUCAUUAAGUUGGGCACUCUGAAAGAACUGCCAGUGAUAAGCUGGAGGAAGGUGGGGAUGACGUCAAGUCCUCAUGGCCCUUACGUGUUGGGCUACACACGUGCUACAAUGGUAUUUACAACAGGAAGCAAGACUGCGAAGUUGAGCAAAUCCUUAAAAGAUACCUCAGUUCGGAUUGCACUCUGCAACUCGAGUGCAUGAAGCUGGAAUUACUAGUAAUCG